GCCAGGUUAGCCAAGUGGUACGGCGACCGCCUCGAGAGCGGUUGUGCUUUCAGCACUCAGGGGUUCGAAUCCCUUACCUGGCG
rnacentral:tRNA from 1 species